rnacentral:rRNA from 5 species
UAUACGACUCUCGGCAACGGAUAUCUCGGCUCUCGCAUCGAUGAAGAACGUAGCGAAAUGCGAUACUUGGUGUGAAUUGCAGAAUCCCGUGAACCAUCGAGUCUUUGAACGCAAGUUGCGCCCGAGGCCUUUUGGUUGAGGGCACGCCUGCCUGGGCGUCACGC